rnacentral:rRNA from 1 species
GGAAGGAACUAACAGGGAUUCCCCUAGUAACUGCGAGUGAAGCGGGAAAAGCUCAAAUUUAAAAUCUGGUAGUCUCUGGCUGCCCGAGUUGUAAUCUAGAGAAGUGUUAUCCGCGCUGGACCGUGUAUAAGUCUCCUGGAAUGGAGCGUCAUAGAGGGUGAGAAUCCCGUCUUUGACACGGACUACCGGGGCUUUGUGAUGCGCUCUCGAAGAGUCGAGUUGUUUGGGAAUGCAGCUCUAAAUGGGUGGUAAAUUCCAUCUAAAGCUAAAUAUUGGCGAGAGACCGAUAGCGAACAAGUACCGUGAGGGAAAGAUGAAAAGAACUUUGGAAAGAGAGUUAAACAGUACGUGAAAUUGUUGAAAGGGAAACGCUUGAAGUCAGUCGCGUUGGCUAGGAAUCAGCCUUGCUUUUGCUUGGUGUACUUCCUUGUUGACGGGUCAGCAUCAAUUUUGACCGGUGGAAAAAGGCUAGUGGAAUGUGGCAUCUUCGGAUGUGUUAUAGCUGCUAGUUGUAUACAUCGGUUGGGAUUGAGGAACUCAGCACGCCGCAAGGUCGGGGUUCGCCCACGUUCGUGCUUAGGAUGCUGGCAUAAUGGCUUUAAUCGACCCGUCUUGAAACACGGACCAAGGAGUCUAACAUGCCUGCGAGUGUUUGGGUGGAAAACCCGAGCGCGUAAUGAAAGUGAAAGUUGAGAUCCCUGUCGUGGGGAGCAUCGACGCCCGGACCAGACCUUUUGUGACGGAUCCGCGGUAGAGCAUGUAUGUUGGGACCCGAAAGAUGGUGAACUAUGCCUGAAUAGGGUGAAGCCAGAGGAAACUCUGGUGGAGGCUCGUAGCGAUUCUGACGUGCAAAUCGAUCGUCAAAUUUGGGUAUAGGGGCGAAAGACUAAUCGAACCAUCUAGUAGCUGGUCCU